rnacentral:ribozyme from 1 species
CCCGAUACCCGUAUCAUACCCAUCCGACGCCUCUUGAAGGAUGAUAUAGGAUCUCGAUAGCCUACUCCGACUCAAUACGUCCACGUCGUACAGAACGGUAACACACUUCUCCAAUAAUCUGAGCUUGGGUACACGGGGAAUCCCAACCCCUUGGGAGGAUGAGUCAUAUGGCUAAAUUGAGCGGG